rnacentral:snRNA from 1 species
CUGCUUAUCCAGCAGGGGAGAAAACAUGAUCACAAAAGUGGCUUUCCUAGGGUGAGCUUCAUUCACUGCACUCUGGUGCCCUGAGCCCUGCGAUUUGUUCCUCUUGGCGUAAUAUAUCGCUUUUAAAUUGUUUUUGGAUUUUCGUGUUUUAGAAAUGUAAUGGUACUUUCCUGU